UUAAGCGACUAAGCGUACACGGUGGAUGCCCUGGCAGUCAGAGGCGAUGAAGGACGUGCUAAUCUGCGAUAAGCGUCGGUGAGGUGAUAUGAACCGUUAUAACCGGCGAUUUCCGAAUGGGGAAACCCAGUGUGUUUCGACACACUAUCAUUAACUGAAUCCAUAGGUUAAUGAGGCGAACCGGGGGAACUGAAACAUCUAAGUACCCCGAGGAAAAGAAAUCAACCGAGAUUCCCCCAGUAGCGGCGAGCGAACGGGGAGGAGCCCAGAGCCUGAAUCAGUGUGUGUGUUAGUGGAAGCGUCUGGAAAGGCGCGCGAUACAGGGUGACAGCCCCGUACACAAAAAUGCACAUACUGUGAGCUCGAUGAGUAGGGCGGGACACGUGAUAUCCUGUCUGAAUAUGGGGGGACCAUCCUCCAAGGCUAAAUACUCCUGACUGACCGAUAGUGAACCAGUACCGUGAGGGAAAGGCGAAAAGAACCCCGGCGAGGGGAGUGAAAAAGAACCUGAAACCGUGUACGUACAAGCAGUGGGAGCCUCUUAAUGGGGUGACUGCGUACCUUUUGUAUAAUGGGUCAGCGACUUAUAUUCUGUAGCAAGGUUAACCGAAUAGGGGAGCCGAAGGGAAACCGAGUCUUAACUGGGCGUUAAGUUGCAGGGUAUAGACCCGAAACCCGGUGAUCUAGCCAUGGGCAGGUUGAAGGUUGGGUAACACUAACUGGAGGACCGAACCGACUAAUGUUGAAAAAUUAGCGGAUGACUUGUGGCUGGGGGUGAAAGGCCAAUCAAACCGGGAGAUAGCUGGUUCUCCCCGAAAGCUAUUUAGGUAGCGCCUCGUGAAUUCAUCUCCGGGGGUAGAGCACUGUUUCGGCAAGGGGGUCAUCCCGACUUACCAACCCGAUGCAAACUGCGAAUACCGGAGAAUGUUAUCACGGGAGACACACGGCGGGUGCUAACGUCCGUCGUGAAGAGGGAAACAACCCAGACCGCCAGCUAAGGUCCCAAAGUCAUGGUUAAGUGGGAAACGAUGUGGGAAGGCCCAGACAGCCAGGAUGUUGGCUUAGAAGCAGCCAUCAUUUAAAGAAAGCGUAAUAGCUCACUGGUCGAGUCGGCCUGCGCGGAAGAUGUAACGGGGCUAAACCAUGCACCGAAGCUGCGGCAGCGACGCUUAUGCGUUGUUGGGUAGGGGAGCGUUCUGUAAGCCUGUGAAGGUGUGCUGUGAGACAUGCUGGAGGUAUCAGAAGUGCGAAUGCUGACAUAAGUAACGAUAAAGCGGGUGAAAAGCCCGCUCGCCGGAAGACCAAGGGUUCCUGUCCAACGUUAAUCGGGGCAGGGUGAGUCGACCCCUAAGGCGAGGCCGAAAGGCGUAGUCGAUGGGAAACAGGUUAAUAUUCCUGUACUUGGUGUUACUGCGAAGGGGGGACGGAGAAGGCUAUGUUGGCCGGGCGACGGUUGUCCCGGUUUAAGCGUGUAGGCUGGUUUUCCAGGCAAAUCCGGAAAACCAAGGCUGAGGCGUGAUGACGAGGCACUACGGUGCUGAAGCGACAAAUGCCCUGCUUCCAGGAAAAGCCUCUAAGCAUCAGGUAACAUCAAAUCGUACCCCAAACCGACACAGGUGGUCAGGUAGAGAAUACCAAGGCGCUUGAGAGAACUCGGGUGAAGGAACUAGGCAAAAUGGUGCCGUAACUUCGGGAGAAGGCACGCUGAUAUGUAGGUGAAGCGACUUGCUCGUGGAGCUGAAAUCAGUCGAAGAUACCAGCUGGCUGCAACUGUUUAUUAAAAACACAGCACUGUGCAAACACGAAAGUGGACGUAUACGGUGUGACGCCUGCCCGGUGCCGGAAGGUUAAUUGAUGGGGUUAGCGGCAACGCGAAGCUCUUGAUCGAAGCCCCGGUAAACGGCGGCCGUAACUAUAACGGUCCUAAGGUAGCGAAAUUCCUUGUCGGGUAAGUUCCGACCUGCACGAAUGGCGUAAUGAUGGCCAGGCUGUCUCCACCCGAGACUCAGUGAAAUUGAACUCGCUGUGAAGAUGCAGUGUACCCGCGGCAAGACGGAAAGACCCCGUGAACCUUUACUAUAGCUUGACACUGAACAUUGAGCCUUGAUGUGUAGGAUAGGUGGGAGGCUUUGAAGUGUGGACGCCAGUCUGCAUGGAGCCGACCUUGAAAUACCACCCUUUAAUGUUUGAUGUUCUAACGUUGGCCCCUAAUCGGGGUUGCGGACAGUGUCUGGUGGGUAGUUUGACUGGGGCGGUCUCCUCCUAAAGAGUAACGGAGGAGCACGAAGGUUGGCUAAUCCUGGUCGGACAUCAGGAGGUUAGUGCAAUGGCAUAAGCCAGCUUGACUGCGAGCGUGACGGCGCGAGCAGGUGCGAAAGCAGGUCAUAGUGAUCCGGUUGUUCUGAAUGGAAGGGCCAUCGCUCAACGGAUAAAAGGUACUCCGGGGAUAACAGGCUGAUACCGCCCAAGAGUUCAUAUCGACGGCGGUGUUUGGCACCUCGAUGUCGGCUCAUCACAUCCUGGGGCUGAAGUAGGUCCCAAGGGUAUGGCUGUUCGCCAUUUAAAGUGGUACGCGAGCUGGGUUUAGAACGUCGUGAGACAGUUCGGUCCCUAUCUGCCGUGGGCGCUGGAGAACUGAGGGGGGCUGCUCCUAGUACGAGAGGACCGGAGUGGACGCAUCACUGGUGUUCGGGUUGUCAUGCCAAUGGCACUGCCCGGUAGCUAAAUGCGGAAGAGAUAAGUGCUGAAAGCAUCUAAGCACGAAACUUGCCCCGAGAUGAGUUCUCCCUGAGACUUAGAGUCUCCUGAAGGAACGUUGAAGACGACGACGUUGAUAGGCCGGGUGUGUAAGCGCAGCGAUGCGUUGAGCUAACCGGUACUAAUGAACCGUGAGGCUUAACCUU
rnacentral:rRNA from 1 species